rnacentral:rRNA from 1 species
ACACAUGCAAGUCGAACGAUGAAGCCCAGCUUGCUGGGUGGAUUAGUGGCGAACGGGUGAGUAACACGUGAGUAACCUGCCCUUAACUCUGGGAUAAGCCUGGGAAACUAGGUCUAAUACCGGAUAGGAGCGUCCACCGCCAUGGUGGGUGUUGGAAAGAUUUAUCGGUUUUGGAUGGACUCGCGGCCUAUCAGCUUGUUGGUGAGGUAAUGGCUCACCAAGGCGACGACGGGUAGCCGGCCUGAGAGGGUGACCGGCCACACUGGGACUGAGACACGGCCCAGACUCCUACGGGAGGCAGCAGUGGGGAAUAUUGCACAAUGGGCGCAAGCCUGAUGCAGCGACGCCGCGUGAGGGAUGACGGCCUUCGGGUUGUAAACCUCUUUCAGUAGGGAAGAAGCGAAAGUGACGGUACCUGCAGAAGAAGCACCGGCUAACUACGUGCCAGCAGCCGCGGUAAUACGUAGGGUGCGAGCGUUAUCCGGAAUUAUUGGGCGUAAAGAGCUCGUAGGCGGUUUGUCGCGUCUGUCGUGAAAGUCCGGGGCUUAACCCCGGAUCUGCGGUGGGUACGGGCAGACUAGAGUGCAGUAGGGGAGACUGGAAUUCCUGGUGUAGCGGUGGAAUGCGCAGAUAUCAGGAGGAACACCGAUGGCGAAGGCAGGUCUCUGGGCUGUAACUGACGCUGAGGAGCGAAAGCAUGGGGAGCGAACAGGAUUAGAUACCCUGGUAGUCCAUGCCGUAAACGUUGGGCACUAGGUGUGGGGACCAUUCCACGGUUUCCGCGCCGCAGCUAACGCAUUAAGUGCCCCGCCUGGGGAGUACGGCCGCAAGGCUAAAACUCAAAGGAAUUGACGGGGGCCCGCACAAGCGGCGGAGCAUGCGGAUUAAUUCGAUGCAACGCGAAGAACCUUACCAAGGCUUGACAUGUUCUCGAUCGCCGUAGAGAUACGGUUUCCCCUUUGGGGCGGGUUCACAGGUGGUGCAUGGUUGUCGUCAGCUCGUGUCGUGAGAUGUUGGGUUAAGUCCCGCAACGAGCGCAACCCUCGUUCCAUGUUGCCAGCACGUCAUGGUGGGGACUCAUGGGAGACUGCCGGGGUCAACUCGGAGGAAGGUGAGGACGACGUCAAAUCAUCAUGCCCCUUAUGUCUUGGGCUUCACGCAUGCUACAAUGGCCGGUACAAUGGGUUGCGAUACUGUGAGGUGGAGCUAAUCCCAAAAAGCCGGUCUCAGUUCGGAAUUGGGGUCUGCAACUCGACCCCAUGAAGUCGGAGUCGCUAGUAAUCGCAGAUCAGCAACGCUGCGGUGAAUACGUUCCCGGGCCUUGUAC